GCCUGGUUGGUUGAGUUGGUGGAGCAUGUGACUCUUGAUCUCAGGGUUGUGAGUUUGAGUCUCAUGUUGGGCA
rnacentral:tRNA from 1 species